CGUAGGCGAAUGAAAGCAGCCUGCUCUUCCUGGGUUCUCAAAGUCAUCAAGUGUAAACGCAAUAAUUUGAAGGUGAUGAAGAUGGGAGACGGAAGUAUAAAUAAAGAUGGAAGAAAUUAGCCGCCCUCUUGUUCUAAAUACAUCUGAUUGAGAUUUCGGGUAUGCGUUUCUUGCAUACAGUAAAAAACCAGAUGAAUAUAUCAUGAGAGUAGUGCAGUUGACUCUACUGCUGUUGUUAUUAUCCCUUUGUUUUCCUUUGUAGUGCUUUGUUUUAUUGAUCUAC